rnacentral:rRNA from 1 species
AUUGAACGCUGGCGGAAUGCUUUACACAUGCAAGUCGAACGGUAGAGGGGGCAACCCCUCGAGAGUGGCGAACGGGUGAGUAAUAUAUCGGAACGUGCCCAGUCGUGGGGGAUAACGUAGCGAAAGUUACGCUAAUACCGCAUACGAUUCAAGGAUGAAAGCGGGGGAUCGCAAGACCUCGCGCGAUUGGAGCGGCCGCUAUCGGAUUAGGUAGUGGGUGGGGUAAAGGCUCACCAAGCACACGGUCUGUAGCUGGUCUGAGAGGACGACCAGCCACACUGGAACUGAGACACGGUCCAGACUCCUACGGGAGGCAGCAGUGGGGAAUUUUGGACAAUGGACGCAAGUCUGAUCCAGCCAUUCCGCGUGCAGGAUGAAGGCCAUCGGGUUGUAAACUGCUUUUGUACGGAACGAAAAGGUCUCUCUUAAUACGGGGGGCUCAUGACGGUACCGUAAGAAUAAGCACCGGCUAACUACGUGCCAGCCGCCGCGGUAA